AAACGAAAGCAUACUCGACUCCAAAAUCCUGAUCAAAUACAUCUAUUGCGAAUAUAACUAAUUUCUGUUCCUUUUCUGCUAACCGUGGUCAUGCGUUUGAAUCGUGUUUCCGACGGGAAUAAGGAGAUCACGCCGAAUUUUAAUUUAAUACCAACUGUUCCAGGUUUUGAAAUGACUACUGAUAUAUUAACCGGAGCAGAUUUAUUACGUGAUAAGAAUACAUGUGGAAAAUUUAGUAUCCUUGCCGAUGUUUUGCACAUACGAACAAGUCAAUUAUGCUUUGACAGUUUAGAUUACAAUUCAACAAUCAGUCCGUUUAAAUCGAAGUAAUGCACCAACACAUUCAAAACAGGAUGGUCGAGGCGGAGAGAAGAUACAAAGCUAGGUUUUUGAGAGGUCGAACUACGAUUAAAAGAUUCCAGAAGGGAGAUAUUGUAAUAAUAAAAAUAUAACCCCAGAAAUCGGAUAUCCCUAUAUUUAAAAUUUUGUGAACUAUACAAAAUCCAGAAAAUAAUUGAGAAUGAUUAAUAUCUUGUAAAGUGAUUUUAGACAAUGGAUGACUCCGAAAUGUGGCACAUGACCAGCUACGAAUGUGGCACAUGACCAGCUACGAUGAGACUUCACAGCAUCUGAGGGACGACACAGAAUUACUAAGCAAGCAGUUAGGUGGACGGUUCGCCUACCUAAUAGUUAUCCGGUGAGCGUAUUUCAUUUUGUUCAAAUUGCUUCAUUCAAACGCAUUACCAUUAAUCAUUGCUAGCAAUGUGAUUGUCUAACACUUAGUUUGAGAUAUAUUACUAUAAAAGAUGCAUUUGGCGUGCGGAUCCGAACCAUAACAAAAAAAAAAAAAUAAUAAUAAAUAAAAAAAAAUAAAAUAAUAAUUAAUAAAAAAUAAUAUUGUAGACGGGUGGAGACGUCUUACGCCAAACAAAUAAAGAAAGAAAAAAAAAAUUUAUGUAGACGGGUGGAGACGUCUUACGAAAAAAAAAAAAAAUUAAAAAAAUAUUGUACUGGUGGAGACGUCUUACGCCAUACAAAUAAAGAAAUAAAAAAAAAAAAAAAAAAAGUUGUAGGCGGAUGGAGACAUCCUAUGACAUAUGUUAUGAAUGUUCGUGUGACGCCCCAAAGCCAUAAGUAGAUUAAAUAAUUGGACCUGAUAUUAUGAUUUCGUCUCACGAUGAGUCGUAAUAAACAACGUAACCCAUACGACAACAACAAAUUUGUUAACCAUAACUAUAACAAUAUAAAGUUAUCUAGGUUUACUGUGGAAGUACCUAGACUACAUAAGUAUCUCUCUGUUAUCACAGAAAACAAUGCAGAGCACGCAUCAGUAUAACCGUAUCGGCAUGACUUCGGACGAUGAAGCAUCAAUUCUUGAACCUGGCCCAUCUACUCUACGAGACCUGCAACGGGUACGAGAACAUAACGAAAGCUAAGCAAGAGAGAACACAUCACCAGGCAGGUGCAGAGCACGCACCGCCUGCCAGAAUGGCCGUAUCGGCGCAAGCAGCUUCAACGACGGAUGCAACAUGAAAAUAACUGGCACCAAUUAUUAUAACACCUUAUUGGUCGUCGUUACUAUUGUUAAAAGUAAAACGAAAUCAAAGAGAAUAGAACUAUGUUUGAAUUCUGGUUUAAAUAUGACGUCUGGACGCACGACGGGGGACUGCAGAGUUCAGCGAGUGCGGAGCAUAAAGAACCUUCGAGAAAUACAAGAACAUUUAGAAGAA